rnacentral:rRNA from 1 species
UACGUAGGGGGCAAGCGUUGUCCGGAAUCAUUGGGCGUAAAGAGCGUGUAGGCGGCCCGAUAAGUCCGCUGUGAAAGUCCAGGGCUCAACCCUGGGAUGCCGGUGGAUACUGUCGGGCUCGAGUCCGGAAGAGGAGUGUGGAAUUCCUGGUGUAGCGGUGAAAUGCGCAGAUAUCAGGAGGAACACCCGUGGCGAAAGCGGCGCGCUGGACCACUACUGACGCUGAGGAACGAAAGCUAGGGGAGCAAACAGG